GAGCCCACACUCCCACUAGUUGAUACUGACUGUGCUGAGGCAGCAGUGCCCCAUGACCGGGUAGUUCCUUUGGGGUUCCUCUCUCCAUCUUCCUGAGAAUUUCCAGUUACCAUGCUGCUGUUUGUGCAAAGCAAGAAUUAGAUUGCAGAGGUCUCGUGGUGAUAGUCACUACUGCAAUGAUCGUCAACAGGAGUAGGAGCACACCAACAAGCCAUGGCGAGCGAGUGUUUUGAAUUUGGGUGAAGAAGUUCAACAUCAUAAACCAAUUCGUCCUCCUUCAAUGGUAACUACUCGCACUUCAAUCUUCAAACCACCUAAUCUCAUAUCAUUUUCUCGAGUGUGGCCGAAUUACAUAAUGUGGAUGAACCGAACAAACUAUAAUUAGGAGUCCCACUAUCUAGUGAUUAAGAACAUGAAGUCCCUUGAAAUUUCAUCUUCUUAACACAAAUCACAAAUAAUAGGUGUAUCAUUCUU